AAAUACUCAGCUCUUAUUAGUCCUGACUGAUGACUGGAUUAGUAAACUGAUUAUACUGCAAGCUGCUGAAAUGGUUUGUAGAUGUUACAAAUGCCUUUGGAUCCAGACAGAGCGAUAAUGACUUUGAGCAUAGAAGUGGACUUGCAGCUGGAUUCUCAGGAGAGCUUUCUACUCUGGCACAACUUGAGAACAGAAAUCUAUUAAGCUGAGCUCAGGUUUUUAAAAGAAAAUUAUCAGGGAGCUGCAUUACAGAAUCAUGUUGCGUUUCUUCAGCUUUAAAACCAUCACUCUGGGCUACUUUGAGAUGUCAGCUGUGAAGACUGUAACAACCUCAGGCAGAAGGAUUCAUUCCACUAAGAAUGCUGGCAAUCAGCAACAAGAAAGACCUUCCAGAAAACAUACAAAAUUCAUGAUUUUAUUAAUUCAUAGUGUAAUUCAAGUAUUUAGC
ensembl:lncRNA